ACAGGUUCCCUUUAAAAGAACUGGCGGAAAAAAUAUUCUCCUGGGCCGAAAAAGAAUGUUCUCUCCAUCACAGCUAUCCAUUUAAAGGGUACAGAAAACAUACAGGCGGAGUUCCU